ACGUAGGUGGCAAGCGUUGUCCGGAUUUAUUGGGUUUAAAGGGUGCGUAGGCGGUUUUCUAAGUCAGCAGUGAAAUACGGCAGCUCAACUGUCGAGGUGCUGUUGAUACUGGGGAACUUGAGUACUGAUGAGGUAGGCGGAAUGGACGGUGUAGCGGUGAAAUGCUUAGAGAUCGUCCAGAACACCGAUAGCGAAGGCAGCUUACUAAGGAGUAACUGACGCUGAGGCACGAAAGUGUGGGGAGCAAACAGGA
rnacentral:rRNA from 1 species